rnacentral:rRNA from 1 species
UACGGGGGGGGCAAGCGUUGUUCGGAAUUACUGGGCGUAAAGGGCUCGUAGGCGGCCAACUAAGUCAGACGUGAAAUCCCUCGGCUUAACCGGGGAACUGCAUCUGAUACUGGAUGGCUUGAGUUCGGGAGAGGGAUGCGGAAUUCCAGGUGUAGCGGUGAAAUGCGUAGAUAUCUGGAGGAACACCGGUGGCGAAGGCGGCAUCCUGGACCGACACUGACGCUGACAGCGCGAAAGCCAGGGGAGCAAACGGG